rnacentral:rRNA from 1 species
CCAAUAGCGUAUAUUAAAGUUGCUGCAGUUAAAAAGCUCGUAGUUGAAUUUCGGGACUAAUAUGUUGGUCGUGCCUCGGUACGUACUGAUAUUUUUGGUUUCUCCCUUCUGACGAACCUUGAUGUCAUUAAUUUGGUGUCUUGGGAAAUCAGGACUGUUACUUUGAAAAAAUUAGAGUGUUUAAAGCAGGCUCACGCUUGAAUACAUUAG